rnacentral:rRNA from 1 species
AUAAAAUAGAAAGAGCGUACGGUGGAUGCCUUGGCAUUAAGAGAUGAUGAAGGACGUAACUAACAGCGAUAUGCCUCGGGGAGUCGUAAGUAGACAACGAUCCGGGGAUUUCCGAAUAGGGCAACCUAGUUACCGUAAUUGGUAAUUGCAUCUUAGAUCAAUAAAUACUCUUUGAUGGAGCAACCCAGGGAAUUGAAACAUCUUAGUACCUGGAGGAAAAGAAAAUAAAUUAAUGAUUCCCUUAGUAGUGGCGAGCGAACGGGGAAAAGCCCAAACCACCUUUGAGGUGGGGUUGUAGGACCAUAAUGUGGUAUACAUUUGGAUAGUUGAAGAAGUUGGAAAGCUUCUCCCUAGAUGGUGAUAGGCCAGUAAACGAAAUCCAAAUGUAACCUAUUGGUAUCCUGAGUACAACGAGGCACGUGAAACCUUGUUGGAAUCCACCGGGACCAUCCGGUAAGGCUAAAUACUCCUUAAUGACCGAUAGUGAACUAGUACCAUGAGGGAAAGGUGAAAAGAACCGCUGGCGCGGAGUGAAAUAGAACCUGAAACCGUAUGCUUACAAGAAGUCAGAGCACAUUUAAGUGUGAUGGCGUGCCUUUUGUAGAAUGAACCUGCGAGUUAUGUUAUCGUGCGAGGUUAAAUCGAAAAGAUGGAGCCGUAGCGAAAGCGAGUCUUAAUAGGGCGAAUUAGUACGAUGACAUAGACCCGAAGCCGUUGUGAUCUAUCCAUGAUCAGGUUGAAGGUUGGGUGAUACCAACUGGAGGACCGAACCGACCCCCGUUGAAAUGUUGGCGGAUGAAUUGUGGAUAGCGGAGAAAUUCCAAUCGAACUCGGAUAUAGCUGGUUCUCCCCGAAAUAGCUUUAGGGCUAGCGUUAUGAUAGAUUACCGGAGGUAGAGCACUGAAUGGGCUAGGGGCCGCGAGGUUACUGAACCCUAUCAAACUUCAAAUGCCGGAUAAUUGUUUCAUGGCAGUCAGACUGUGUGAGAUAAGUCGCAUAGUCAAAAGGGAAACAGCCCAGAUCUACAGCUAAGGUCCCAAAUGAAUACUAAGUGGAAAAUGAUGUGAAAUUGCUAAGACAACCAGGAUGUUGGCUUAGAAGCAGCCACUCAUUCAAAGAGUGCGUAAUAGCUCACUGGUCGAGUGAAUGUGCGCCGAAAAUAUACCGGGGCUAAACGUGAUACCGAAGUCUGGGGAUCAAGAAAUUGAUCGGUAGGGGAGCAACGCAUACGGACAGAAGCAGAAGCGGGAGCGACUGUGGACUGUAUGGGAGAGAGAAUGCCGGCAUGAGUAGCGAGAGCAAAGUGAGAAUCUUUGCCGUCGAAAGCCUAAGGUUUCCUGAGGAAGGUUCGUCCUCUCAGGGUAAGUCGGGACCUAAGCCGAGGACAGUAGUCGUAGGCGAUGGACAUCAGGUUGAUAUUCCUGAACUACUUGAUAGUCGUUAUCAGUAGCGGAGGGACGCAGGAGGAUAGGCACGCAGUCGAUUGGAAGUGACUGUUUAAGCGUGUAGGUAGAGAUUGUAGGAAAAUCCGCAAUUUCGUUAUAAACUGAGGCGUUAUGAGGAGGCUCUACGGAGCUGAAGGUGUUGACUCCACACUGCCAAGAAAAUCUUCGCUAUGAGAAUAUCAGGUAUCCGUACCGUAAACCGCCACAGGUAGGUUGGUAGAGAAUACUAAGGUGCGCGAGACAACUCUCGCUAAGGAACUCGGCAAAAUCACCUCGUAACUUCGGGAGAAGAGGUACCCUGGUAGUGUGAAACGAUUUACUCGUGGAGCAUGAUAGGGUCGCAGUGAAUAGGCCCAAGCGACUGUUUACCAAAAACAUAGGUCUCUGCUAAGUCGACUUAAGACGAUGUAUAGGGGCUGACGCCUGCCCGGUGUCGGAAGGUUACGUGGAAGGGUUAGACCUCGGUCGAAGCUCUGAAACUAAGCCCCGAUGAACGGCGGCCGUAACUAUAACGGUCCUAAGGUAGCGAAAUUCCUUGUCAGGUA